rnacentral:lncRNA from 10 species
GGCCAUCUUGGCUCCUCCUCCCCAGUAUGGUUUCUUAUGUGUUAUUCAUGUCCUCCCACCGGUCUGUAAACCAAAUGGCAAAAUAACAUAAUUUCCCUCCUGUUUAAAAGAGAAGAGACACAGAAACUGGAAUAGGAUGAAGGCCAUGUGAAGACAAAGGCAGAGAUUGGAGUGAUGGAUCCACUAGCCAAGGAACCCCAAGGAUGGCCGCCCACCACCAGAACCUGGAGAGGCAGGAAGGAUCCUCCCCAGAGCUUCAGAGGGACCAGGGCACUGCUGACAUCUUGACUUUAGACUUCUGGCCUCCAGAACUGUGAGAGAAUCCAUUUCUGGUGUUUAAAGCUACCCAGUUUGUGGUGCUUUGUUUUUGGAAACCAAUACAGUGUCAAACAAUGAAAUAUAAGCUCAUAUCCAUGCAGGCAUCCCUUCCCUUAUUGAAAGGGCAGCUCUCAGACCCUUGUGCUCCCCUUUCUACCUGCCUGGGACAUGUACAAACAGCAGCAAGUGUGGGGGCCACCAAAGCCAACAGCCCAAACACAGCAGGGCAGAAACACAGGACACAGCCUCCAAAAUGUUUACCCUGCAUAAGAGCCAAACAGUACGAUCUCCAAAUUUACACAGCCUGACAUUUCUGUCAGACAUCAAGGUAACAAGUUAGAGUUGCUGGCAUCUCUUCCCAAAGAAAUGAAAGAGGACAUCACUUGAAAUCAAUAAGAAUAAACCAGGAUGCUUGUUAUUAUUUUAAAGAAAGCCAUGCCGUAAAAUCACAAUAGACCAAUUAAAGUCACUAUCAGGAAACAGAAGAAUAAUCAGCACAGAGAAAAUAAAAUCCAGAUUACAGUGAAGUGGAUGAUUCUGGGGGAAAAAAAAAGAACCAAGGCUGGGCACAGAGAAGGUUCAGAGAGUCUGUGAUAAAAUUUGCAAUCAGAGUCUGCACCAACACAGUGUCUCAUAAAACUUUUAAACCAAGUGAAAAGACUGAAUAUUCAGCAAUCACCAAGCAGGAAAGACAUGUUACAGUGACAGGUAUGACUCAUAGCUGCUUUUGAUUUCUCCAAUGCUCUCACUUCCCAAAGACAAAAGAAUCACAUCUAUAGGCCUCAGCUCUGCAGAAAGGAUAUGCUCUGAGAAUUAGUUACUCAACAAGUUGUCAUCCCCAUCUGAGGCUACACAAAGGCGCUUUCAGAUCCACAGAAUGUCCUUGUAUGGCUUGUGAAUCCAUAUCUCAGAGCCCGUAAUAGACUCUGUUGCGUACAAGAACCUAAUACACACUAAAAUAAGCAGCACCAAACACUAGGGAAAAAAAAGUUAUUCAUUAAAUUAAGUUAGGUUGAUUUCAUAGGGAUUUGGAAAUUCAUUUAGAGUCACAUUUACAUUAUGCUCCAGAAUAGACUCCAGAUGCUUGAAGGAGUUAAAUCGUUUUAAAUAUGUGAAAUUAGAGGGGAACUGGUUAAAAUUAAAUCUGAGUAUUUACCUCAACUUCUAAGAGAGGCAAGCUUCUUCAAAAUGGAAUCAACAGAAGAAAUUUCAGUGAAAAAGAGCAUUUGGCUAUUUCGCUGAAAAUUAAAAUCAGCAAAACCCAACAAACCUAAAAUUUAAAAUCAUAAGAAACUAUAAUGUGUUAGGCACAUAUCAAGCGUCAGGUGUGGCACUAGGCACUUCCAUGACCUCCCAUUUCAUCUUUGAGGCAGCCCCAGGAGGAGGCACCGUGACCCUAUUGCACUCGUGAGGGAGAGGGGGCUGUGAGCCUCCCAGAGCCAGGUUUCCCCUGGGUCAGUCAGACACCGAACCCUAGUCCAUCCUGUGUGAACAGAAGAGGCAGGAACUAGGGGGAGAUGCAUUUAACAUUUGUGAAAGCUUAUUACAAUAAAUUAGAGGAUCACCAAGAUAUUCCAAUCAUGAGGAGGUAAAGGGUCCACACGUGACAAUUCCUGUAGCACAGGUGCCAUAAGCAGCCGGACAGAGGGGGCUUCCUGAGAGCCCCCAACCCAACAUGCCUGGGGAGGGGUCUCUGGGAGGUCUGACCACUCUCAGGGCCACAGAACUCAAAAGAGAGCUGAGAGAGGCUCAGGAGACACCCCAAAAGGCCACAGUGCCCCCUGAGAUGAGGCCUGGCCCCUGGGCAGGCAAGACAGUGUCCGGCAGACACCACCUGGGUGACCUGAGUGAAGCAUGUGGAUCUAUCUUCAAAAUAAGAGCUGUUGGGAGGGUUAAACGAAGCCACGGAUGACAAGUGCCCAGCACCUGGUAGGUGCUCCAGGGCUCUGUCCCGGUUCCCAGCCCUCCUGGCACCUCCUUUGUGUGGAGCUGGAGGAGACCAAGGCAUGCACGCAAGGAGCUUGUGACAAAGCUGUUGAAGCAGUGAUGGAGGAAAGGGGACAGGGAUAUGAUCUAGUGAUCAGGAAGCUGCGUCUACUUCUAGGCUGCAGGUGUGAAGGGGGUUGUGGGGUGGGGGUGCUGUGUAGUGAUAAGAAGGCCAUCAGUACCCCGGCUGGAGGCAACAGCCCACGCAUGCACACCUGCGCCCACCUUCUAGUCUGGUGCAGGGGUCUCCCUCGGCUACUCUAGCUAGAACCUGGCCAGCAAGGGAGCAGGGGUAUAUGUGGCUUCUAGGCUUCUAGCCUCAGCAGUGUGUGGUAGGCAAAUAAGGACUCCUCUAAAGAUAUCUACAUCCUAAUCCCCAGAACCUGUGGAUAGGCUGGGUCACACUGCAAGAGGGAAUGAAGGCUGCAGAUAGAAUGAAGCUUUCUAAUCACCUGACUUUAAAGUAGGGAGAUUAUGCUGGAUUAUCUGUAUGAAUCCUAUAUCCUUGAAAGUGGAUGAGGAAAUCAGAAGAGAGCCAUCAGAGAGCAACACGAGAACUCAUCCAACACCAUCGGCCUUGAGGCUGGAGGAAGGGAGAUGAGCAAGUGCGUCCAGAAGCUGCAAACGGUGAGGCUCCCACUCUCCCCUGCAGCCUCCAGGGAGGGAUGCGCGUUGAUUUGAGCCCAGUGAGAUGUGUGCUGGAUUUCUACUCUACAGAACUGUAAGCUAGUCACUUUGUGUUGUUCCAAGCCACUACGUCUGUGGUAGGGUUAGGGUUAGAGUUGGGGUUUGGGUUAUCACAGCAGCCACAGAAAAGAGGGGUCACCAAAAGAGAGGCUGCCUGCGAUGGGAAAGCCAUGGACCCAGGACCCUGCAUUACUGGAGCCAGGUCUCUCUGUUCUAGGGGCCCGGAGACUCAGAGAGGUGGUAGUAUUAGCUCUGCUUUAUCAAUUAAGAAACUGAAGGGCAGAGAGGUCAAAAAAACCUGCCUCAAGCUACACAGCAUUCUGCGGCAGUUCUGGGAUUCGAGCCCAGGCAGCCUGACUGUGGGGCUGUAUUCUCAUCCACUCCCUAACACUGCCUGUUGCACGAUAUGCUGGGUGUUGUGUAACUUAUAUAGCAAAAUACUAGAAACAAUCUUAUUGUCUAACACUAGGAUUAAGUAUUAAUAAAUCAUCAUAAGGCAUCAACUCAUUGGGUUUUAUGAAGGCUUUCAAAUAAAUAUGAGCACCACGGGAAAAUAUUGACAACGUGAAAUGAAAACAGCAGAAUGCAGAAUCAUGCUUACCUUACGAUUACAUGAUGACAAUAUGGCAAGGCCUGAAGCAGGAUCAUGAGGAAACAGAGACCUCUAUGAGGGUGGUAGGAGCAAGCAGCCUGCGUGUCCUGUGAUCCCCUGCAAAUGAAGGUGGCACCAUAGUUAGCAGCAUGGGAUGCUCAGAGAACAGAGGGAAUGUGUUGCCGGACAGACGGACUGGCUCCACCAGAUACCACCUAUGUUCUGUAACUUCUCAGAGCCACUGUGUGUCAUGUACAACGGGAGUCAUAACACCACCAGGUUCAUAGAGCUGUGGUAAGCGUCAAAUGAGACCAUGUUUGCAAAGAUGUGGUGGUUCUAUAAACCUCAGCUCCCCCCGUGUCUCCCUGGCUUUUAAGGUUUUUUGUUGUCGUUGUAAACAUUAUAACAUUUUUAAAAACUAGUCCUCCAAGGUUUAUUUUGGAGGAUUUCUGAGACUAACUCAGGGGGAAGCAGUGAUGAAGAGGCCUCAACGGUCAUGAUGCCCAUGGACCCGUCUUCAGUUGUGUUGAGAAGGAGAGGCUGCAGGUGUUUAAAACGCACAGUGCUGAUGCAUUUGACACAGUGCGCUCCUGAGGCCAUCGCCAUGGUCUCAAUAACAAAUGCCCGGGUGCGGGGAGCGGGGAGGGAUAGCAUUGGGAGA